AUGAACGCUGGCGGCGUGCCUAAUACAUGCAAGUCGAACGAGUUCUGAUUAUUGAAAGGUGCUUGCAUCUUGAUUUAAUUUUGAACGAGUGGCGGACGGGUGAGUAACACGUGGGUAACCUGCCCUUAAGUGGGGGAUAACAUUUGGAAGCAGAUGCUAAUACCGCAUAAAUCCAAGAACCGCAUGGUUCUUGGCUGAAAGAUGGCGUAAGCUAUCGCUUUUGGAUGGACCCGCGGCGUAUUAGCUAGUUGGUGAGGUAACGGCUCACCAAGGCAAUGAUACGUAGCCGAACUGAGAGGUUGAUCGGCCACAUUGGGACUGAGACACGGCCCAAACUCCUACGGGAGGCAGCAGUAGGGAAUCUUCCACAAUGGACGCAAGUCUGAUGGAGCAACGCCGCGUGAGUGAAGAAGGCUUUCGGGUCGUAAAACUCUGUUGUUGGAGAAGAAUGGUCGGCAGAGUAACUGUUGUCGGCGUGACGGUAUCCAACCAGAAAGCCACGGCUAACUACGUGCCAGCAGCCGCGGUAAUACGUAGGUGGCAAGCGUUAUCCGGAUUUAUUGGGCGUAAAGCGAGCGCAGGCGGUUUUUUAAGUCUGAUGUGAAAGCCCUCGGCUUAACCGAGGAAGUGCAUCGGAAACUGGGAAACUUGAGUGCAGAAGAGGACAGUGGAACUCCAUGUGUAGCGGUGAAAUGCGUAGAUAUAUGGAAGAACACCAGUGGCGAAGGCGGCUGUCUGGUCUGUAACUGACGCUGAGGCUCGAAAGCAUGGGUAGCGAACAGGAUUAGAUACCCUGGUAGUCCAUGCCGUAAACGAUGAAUGCUAGGUGUUGGAGGGUUUCCGCCCUUCAGUGCCGCAGCUAACGCAUUAAGCAUUCCGCCUGGGGAGUACGACCGCAAGGUUGAAACUCAAAGGAAUUGACGGGGGCCCGCACAAGCGGUGGAGCAUGUGGUUUAAUUCGAAGCAACGCGAAGAACCUUACCAGGUCUUGACAUCUUUUGAUCACCUGAGAGAUCAGGUUUCCCCUUCGGGGGCAAAAUGACAGGUGGUGCAUGGUUGUCGUCAGCUCGUGUCGUGAGAUGUUGGGUUAAGUCCCGCAACGAGCGCAACCCUUAUGACUAGUUGCCAGCAUUUAGUUGGGCACUCUAGUAAGACUGCCGGUGACAAACCGGAGGAAGGUGGGGAUGACGUCAAAUCAUCAUGCCCCUUAUGACCUGGGCUACACACGUGCUACAAUGGAUGGUACAACGAGUUGCGAGACCGCGAGGUCAAGCUAAUCUCUUAAAGCCAUUCUCAGUUCGGACUGUAGGCUGCAACUCGCCUACACGAAGUCGGAAUCGCUAGUAAUCGCGGAUCAGCACGCCGCGGUGAAUACGUUCCCGGGCCUUGUACACACCGCCCGUCACACCAUGAGAGUUUGUAACACCCGAAGCCGGUGGCGUAACCCUUUUAGGGAGCGAGCCGUCUAAGGUGGGACAAAUGAUUAGGGUG
rnacentral:rRNA from 1 species